rnacentral:tRNA from 1 species
GCUGUUGUAGUGUAGUGGUUAUCACGUAUCCUUUACACGGAUAAGGCCCUCGGUUCGAACCCGAGCAAUAGCA